rnacentral:rRNA from 1 species
CAAGCGUUGUUCGGAUUUACUGGGCGUAAAGGGCGCGUAGGCGGCCACCGCAAGUCGGUUGUGAAAUCUCUGGGCUUAACCCAGAAAGGUCAAUCGAUACUGCGGGGCUAGAGUGCAGAAGGGGCAACUGGAAUUCUCGGUGUAGCGGUGAAAUGCGUAGAUAUCAAGAGGAACACCUGCGGCGAAGGCGGGUUGCUGGGCCGACACUGACGCUGAGGCGCGAAAGCCAGGGGAGCGAACGGG